GUGAUAAACGAUGUCGAAAGUAUAAUCGUUUCACUUUCUGCAAACGGUCAUUAUCAUUGUUGGUAAAACUUCUACAAACACUUUACCGUUUUCACUUGAGACCGUUUUACAACAAAAAUAUUUGACUUUAAACCCAACUGUAACUGUUUUGCGCAACAAUUUAAUUACUACGGAUUAUGUAGGGCUGAAUUUAAUUUAUUUGUUAAUCCAAUUUCAGUUUAACGACUUCAACUAUCACUAAAGCAGCUGUAAAUCAUAUUUACUAUAUUCCCUGUUUAAUUUAUGAAUAACAUUUACCGUUUAAUUAAAUACUUAUGCAAUUUUACUUGAAAUCAGUUUAAAUAUCAUUCAUAUUGACAGUAAAAAGAAAUCACAUAUGUAUCAAACGUAAAUCAGAAAGAAGAAUUUAAUAAUUGCACAUAUGGAUAAACGGUCAGUUCCGCUCACGUACCGUACUUUAAAAAUGACCGACAUUACGUACCGGACUGUUGGCGCGUGAUGUGCAUUAUUUUGGUGCACGUCCUCGAAAAGAAAGUCACUUUAUUACACAUUCCAACAGUUUUACGACGCCACUUUGCAUAAGAGCGCACAUUCAACGUCUUCUUUCUGUUACAGGACAAAAAAUCGAUAGGAAUUCAAGUAAAUUUCGAAACGGAAACGGAAAAUCCGCCGGAAAAAGUCGACUACCAACAAAACCUUUCAGAAAUAUUCGACAGGCUGAAAACUGAACUGGUGGACCUUCAUACGCACAUCGAGAAACGCAACAUUAGAUUGUAAAAUAAAACAGCAGUAAAAAACUUAAAUGGCUUUUAUUUAAACACGGUAGAAUUCGAUAAAAUUAUAACAAGCAGUAAAAAUUAUCAAUUAAAACAGACAAUAAAAAAAUUAUUGUUGAAAACAAACAACAUUUACAAUGUAAAUUUUGCAUAUGUCAAAGCUAAACAUAUACUAACAAUCCCUGAUAUGUUUUCUUUGUAUAAAAUACUGUAUAAAAAUGUAAAAAUAU